AUGCUUGUUUCAGAAGCACAUAUACUAAAACUGGAAUGGUACAGAGAAAACUAGCACAGCUCCUUCACAAGGAUGAGACAAAUUAAUGAAGCAGUCCACGUUGGU